rnacentral:misc_RNA from 1 species
GCGGAGGCGAACCGGCUGCGACGAUGAAGCCGUCGUCCACGACACGGAAUCCGGUGCGAAUCCGGAACGGUCGGGCCACUGUGACCCAGCGUGUGCUGGCAAGUCAGAGACGUGCGCGGACGCAGUUCCUUUGG